rnacentral:rRNA from 1 species
CUAACAAGGAUUCCCCUAGUAACGGCGAGUGAAGCGGGAAGAGCUCAAGCUUAAAAUCUCCGUGCAAGUUUUGCACGGCGAAUUGUAGUCUAUAGAGGCGUGGUCAGCGUGGGCGCUCGGGGCAAGUUCCUUGGAAGAGGACAGCAUGGAGGGUGAUACUCCCGUUCAUCCCUGAGUUGCUCGUGCGUACGACCCGUUUUCUUUGAGUCGCGUUGUUUGGGAAUGCAGCGCAAAGUAGGUGGUAAAUUCCAUCUAAAGCUAAAUAUUGGUGCGAGACCGAUAGCGAACAAGUACCGUGAGGGAAAGAUGAAAAGAACUUUGAAAAGAGAGUUAAAGAGUACCUGAAACUGCUGAAAGGGAACCGAAUCGUUUCCAGUGUCUAUAAUCCGUGGCAUAUUUCAUUGGCGAGUGUGUGCGUGCGUGUGCUGUGGCAGCGGUCUUUAUGGCUGCGCUCGGCGUGUGUGCUGUGUGUGCUUGCUGGUGCCCUGUGCUGCGGUGGGACGUCAAGGUCAGUUCGUAUGCUGCGGGAAAUGGCUGCCGAGGAGGUAGGGCUUACGCUCCGCGUUUGUCUGUUAUAUCUUGGUGGACGAGUCGUCGCGGUUGGGACUGAGGUGCCUACAACGUGCUUUUGAGUGGGUUUGUGUCUCCGUGUGCGCCGUGUGCGGAUAGCUUGCUAUGCGUGUGUGGUUGUGUGUGGAUUGAUGCGGGCCUUAACUUGUUGCCGUUCGGGACGUUGACGAAAUGGAGCGAUCCGACCCGUCUUGAAACACGGACCAAGGAGUCUAACAUGUGUGCAAGUGUUAGGGUGUGGAAACCCCAGCGCGAAAUGAAAGUGAAGGGCAGCGCAAGUUGUCUGAGGUAGGAAACGUUGCGGGCUUCGGUCUGCGGCGUGGCACUAUCGACCGAUCAUGAACCUUCGUGGUGAAAGAUUUGAGUUUGAGCACAUAUGUUGGUACCCGAAAGAUGGUGAACUAUGCCUGAGUAGGGUGAAGCCAGGGGAAACUCUGGUGGAAGCUCGUAGCGAUUCUGACGUGCAAAUCGAUCGUCAAACUUGGGUAUAGGGGCGAAAGACUAAUCGAACCAUCUAGUAGCUGGUUCCCUCCGAAAUUUCCCUCAGGAUAGCAGCAACUUAUUUACGAUAGUUUUAUGAGGUAAAGCGAAUGAUUAGAGGAUUCGGGGAAGAAACUUCCUCGACCUAUUCUCAAACUUUAAAUCUGUAAGACCUGCAGGUUUCUUAAUUGAACUUGUGGAUGUGAAUAUCAA